AGCCUCUCACCUUGCAACGGAUGGUGUAGGGCUUGCCGAUCUUGUUCCCCUAGUAACCUCUGCGCACGGGGACAAUGGAGAGCUAGGCCAGGAUGAUGGCCCUGUAGAUGGCAGUGGCCGCCUCCUUGGAGCACUUAACACCCAGACCGACGUGACCAUUGUAGUCCGCGAUGGCCACAAACGCCUUGAACCUGGUUCGCUGGCCGGCGCCAGUCUGCUUCUGCACCGGCAUAAUCUUCAAAACCUAGGCCUCGAGAGAGGCCCCCCCAGGAAAAAAUCAAUGAUCUCAGAUUCCUUGAUGGGCAGGAAGAAGAGAUAGAUCUCCUCCAGGGAAGCGAUCUUCAUGUCCUUGACCAGGCGGCCCAACUUGCUGACGGGCAUCCACUCCUUAUCCUUGGCCUUGCCUCUGCGAGCUCCGUGGCUUCGGCCCCAGCCUGGUCCACGGCAGCGACCCCGGCCUCCGAUGCCACUGCCGAAACCUCCACGGAAGCCACUGUGGUUCCCCAUCCCAGGGCUCCCGGGGCCUCCGGCCCCCCUACCCGGCCAGCUGCACCGCGUCAUUCGCCAUUUGGUGUUUUCUCGGAGAAGAAGCUACAUGUGGAAUAUAUUAACUCAACAAAUUGUGCGUACUUGCUAGACAUUAGGCAUGAUAGUAAGUGCUAGGGUUACAAAGUAUUGCUUUUUGCCGAACCCAUGGUUGUUGGGGAGAAACCAGAAGAUCAGUCAUCAUAGUGCGGCAAGAUCAGACUUGUGGUUUGUUCAGGUUAUGGGAGCCGUCACUGCAGUGAGAAUGGGACCCUGGUUGAAGGAACAUGUUGUUCUCAUGGUGGAGGGCAGAAACCCAAGAAGGCUGGAGCCAAUCCAUAACUCAGGCAUGUGGCCACAUCCAACAGCAAGGGAGUCUGGAAAACACCGUUCAGCUGUGUGAAGGAUAUUUAUAAACAUUUAGCAAGAUCCAAAGGAACGGACCAUAGCAUAGCCCUGUUUUCUUUAGAUGCUGACUCCUGCUGUCCACCAUAUCCUCGUGGUGCAAUGACUGGUGUAGACCGGCUUGUUGAGGUCACUCUCUGGAUCUGAGCAAUGUUGGCUGAGCCGUGACGAAGUACUCCUGUCCAUCCACUAUGCUUCACAGUGGGAAUCUCUCCCUGUUCACCACCACUGCCCUAGCAGCCGCAGGGAUUCUUCACCCAUGGUUGCUUAGGUUGAUAAGCAAGGAAGCUGAAUGAAAUCCCUUUCCUUUCUGGGUGAGCCCCUGGGUUUCUGGAAGAUUCUUAAAAUCACCCCUAAAUGGCUUCCAAGCACUGAAGCCCGAGCUGUUAGCUGGCCUGUGUGAAGCCUUGAGACAGAAUGCCACAGCCACACCCCAAGGAUGCUGAAGGGGAUUUCCCUCCUCUGUGGUUUUUCUCCUUUCUUCCUGCAGCACUCCUCCUACAUGCUAACAUCUUCUAGUCAAACAACUCUCCUUUUCAAAGGGACCAGGCACAGUUUCUGCUUAUCCCUGAGUAGCAGUGUUCAGUUUCCUGCCAGCUUGUGAAGUUUUUCAAACAAGCCAGUCACCUCCUCCUGUGGGAACUGAGAAGCACCCCACCCUCUCGAUACUACAAAGCCCCUGCUUGUUCCCUAGUGCAACUCCCAUGUGGUCCUGUGGAGCAUAUGGUAUCUUCCUCUUCUGGGCAGUGGGCAUAUGUGACUAAUAAACUGUCUAUCUCA
rnacentral:antisense_RNA from 1 species